CCCUUAGAUGUUCGGGGCCGCACGCGCGCUACACUGAAUGAAUCAGCGAGUGUAUGUCCUAGGCCGAAAGGUCCGGGUAACCCGUUGAACCUCAUUCGUGAUUGGGAUAGGGACUUGCAAUUGUUUCCCUUGAACGAGGAAUUCCCAGUAAGCGCAAGUCAUCAGCUUGCGUUGAUUACGUCCCUGCCCUUUGUACACACCGCCCGUCGCUACUACCGAUUGAAUGGCUUAGUGAGCCUUUGGGAUUGGCAGCUUGUACCGGCAACGGUAGCAGGCCGCUGAAAACUUAGGCAAACUUGGUCAUUUAGAGGAAGUAAAAGUCGUAACA
rnacentral:rRNA from 1 species